UCCCCGCGCCUCCACACCCUCCUCUCCAAAUGCUCGAUCGGAGGAGCUUCUCAGCCUUGCACCGCCGUCGCACCUUGCGCCGCCGCUCACCGAACCUCCAUUGCACUGAACUUCCAUCACCCCGUCACACCCUUUCCCGGCUCUUCUAUGUGUGUUGCCCGCGUCAUUCCCUUUCGAACCCUAAUUUGCAUUUCUCCGCCACCGUCUUCGUCGCCUUCGUCUACCUUCGUGAUUUUAUAAAACUACAGCACCGAUCGCUCAUUUAGCGGCACUAACCAUAACCAAUGGCGUCCGCCGAGCAGCCAUUGAAGAAGCGAAAGCACGACACUCUCCCGGAAUCCUCACUGCCACACCACCGCCGCUAGCACCGCCGCCACAAUCUCCUCAAACCCUAGCUCGUCUGCCUACUCCUCCUCCUCCGCCUCUGUCACAGGAUGAGGUCGUCACCAAGCAGAGGAACAAAGAUGAGGUUUGAACCAUGUUUGAGAGCUACCGUCGCAUCAAGCUCUUUUUGUCAAUGCUUGCAGAGGGAAACAAGUUAACAGAGAUAUCUGAAAAUCUCUUUUCAUCAUGGACCAUGCUUACUGAAUUCAAUGCAUCAAAAAACUUUCAUGGAAUUAAACAGAUUAAUAUGGAAUUAGAAUGCUUACAUUGGUGCCUAGCUAGAACAUUCGGAACCAGUAUAAGCAGAAAUUGAGAGAACAGUUAGAUACUCUGGCAUAUUUGAUCAAAGAAUGAUGCAGACUCAAGCAUGCCACCAAGUGAUGGAUGAAGCAGAAAAGGAGUACAAGAAGUUUUCCGAACGGAUCACUGAAAGCCGUGAGGCAGUGAAGGUUAUUUGAAGCUUGGCAUAGUAAAAUACCUCUACUUGUUGAAGCUGUAAAGUCCUUGCUAGAGGAGCCGAGUUUAGGUGUUCGGAAAGCACCUUCUGAGUUAAUUGUGGUUAUGGCUUCACAUUGUUACUUGGUUGGUUUAUCUGGAGAGUUGUUCAUUGAGUAUCUUAUACGGCACCGUGCUUUAACUGACAAGAAUCGUGGUGAUCUUGACAUCCUGAAUAAGAGAGUGGAGGUUGCUUCUCUUAGAGAAGGUGUAUCCCUAGAAACCAAACUUCUGAGCAGGUAAGCUAGCUUGUAUGCUAUUUAUGUAGGAAGGAAGCUGCUUUACGACAAAGAGAGGCUGCUCUCAAGGCUAGCAAACAAACACAGGAUGGGAGAGAUGAGGAAAUCACAGCCCUUCGUGGAAAUUCAGAUUGAACCUAUUCGCAAUCUUUUUGCUGCUCUUUUCCUAGCCAGUAUUAGAAUGUUGAUUCAUGUUCAUUUUCUCUGGAACCAUGUUGACAUUCUGGUAGCAUCUGGUAGCAUCUGGAACUCAUGUUCAUUUUCUCUGGAACCAUGUUGAUUCAUGUUCAUUUUCUCUUCUCAGCCGUGCUUCUAAUCUUCAUCUAGUUGAGGGUAAACUAUAUUUGCUGCUUCUUGGGACCAGAGCUCUUAGUCUGUCUUGCAGAUUUUGAAAUGCUGUGAACAUGGCAAUAUACACAUAUAGCUGAUAAACUUGGUGCAAAGAAAUGGCAAUUAGAGCAGCAUUUGCAGAAUUCUUCUCAAUGCUUGUUUUUGUUUUUGCUGCUGAAGGCUCUGGCAUGUCUUAUAAUAACCUCACUCAAGCUCUUCUAUUCCUUUCUCAUUUCAUGGGAGAUAUCCAUCAGCCUCUACAUGUUGGGUUUCUUGGAGAUAAGGGAGGUAACACAAUUGAUGUUCACUGGUACAAACAGAAGCAAAAUCUUCACCAUACGCAAAUCGAGUGCCAUGAAAACAUGAUUCUUAAGCAGGAAAAUGAAAAGCUCCGAGCUGAGAACAGUGUGAUGAGGGAAGCUAUGGCAAACCCAAUGUGCAACAACUGUGGUGGAGCAGCCAUUCCAUGGCAAAUUUCAUUUGAUGAGCAUCAGAUUAGAAUUGAAAAUGCUUGAUUGAGGGAUGAAUUGAACCGUAUAUGUGCUAAUUGAGGGUUGUGGGCAGUGGUAGAUGCUUCAAUUGAUUGUUCUGUAAUAUAUAUAUGUAAAAUUGUGUAAAAUGUAGUAUGAUUGAACAAUAUACUGAGGAUUAUAGUUGAUAAUACACUUUGUUUAUGUUUU